rnacentral:rRNA from 1 species
AUGAUUAGAGACUUCUGGUGGGGAGAUGAGAAAGGACAUCGUAAGGUGCAUUGGAUGUCAUGGGAAAAGAUGACAAAGCCUAAAAGAGCGGGAGGCAUUGGUUUCAAAGAUAUGCACCUUUUUAACCAAGCACGGCUAGCUAAACAAGGUUGGAGAUUAAUCAAAUACCCGAACAGCUUGUGUGCAAGGGUACUAAAAUCUAAAUAGUACUCAAACGGUAAUCUUCUGGACACGGUGUUUGCCUCUGAUGCGUCGCCUGUAUGGAGAGCCAUUGAGUUCGGGCUUGAGCUUUUGAAGAAGGGGGUCAUUUGGAGGAUCGGAAAUGGGAGGGACAUUCAGAUUCAGAGAGAUCAAUGCAUACCAAGACGAGAGGGUUUAAAAACUGCCUCGUUCAUACACAGGUCGAGGAUCCGUUGGGUUAGCCAACUCAUGCUCCCGGGAAAGAAAGAGUGGAAUGAGGAGUUAAUUAGACAACUCUUCUUCUCUUUUGAUGCUGAUGAAAUAUGCAAGCUGAACAUCCCGUCCUCGGAUGUGGAAGACCGUUUUUCCUGGCACUAUGAAAAGAACGGAGUUUUCUCGGUGAGGAGUGCCUACAAAUUAGCUGCAGCAAGCCUUCCUCAAAUGUCCCAAAACCCGUCCAACUCCUCGAGUGAGCCAAAUGAUAGAAGCAUCUGGGAUCUCAUCUGGAAGACAAAAGUCCCCGGAAAGGUGCGUAUUUUCAGCUAG